AUUGAACGCUAGCGGCAGGCUUAACACAUGCAAGUCGAGCGGGGUGAUGGUGCUUGCACUAUCACUUAGCGGCGGACGGGUGAGUAAUGCUUAGGAAUCUGCCUAUUAGUGGGGGACAACAUCUCGAAAGGGAUGCUAAUACCGCAUACGUCCUACGGGAGAAAGCAGGGGAUCACUUGUGACCUUGCGCUAAUAGAUGAGCCUGAGUCGGAUUAGCUAGUUGGUGGGGUAAAGGCCUACCAAGGCGACGAUCUGUAGCGGGUCUGAGAGGAUGAUCCGCCACACUGGGGCUGAGACACGGCCCAGACUCCUACGGGAGGCAGCAGUGGGGAAUAUUGGACAAUGGGGGGAACCCUGAUCCAGCCAUGCCGCGUGUGUGAAGAAGGCCUUAUGGUUGUAAAGCACUUUAAGCGAGGAGGAGGCUCUUUUGGUUAAUACCCAAGAUGAGUGGACGUUACUCGCAGAAUAAGCACCGGCUAACUCUGUGCCAGCCGCCGCCGUAA
rnacentral:rRNA from 1 species